UCUAUCGAAUCUCUCCAUACUUACAUCUCUAUCUAUAUCUAUAUGUUUCUUCCCCCAAUUUUCGGAGGAGGAGGACAAUUUACAAGAUAAUACUACUAAUCUGAAGGAAAAAAAACCCACUUCAAAAUUGUCUUAUUGGGAGGGUUUUUUAAAGGGGGAUUAGGAUUUAAGCAAGAGAUGUGGGAUGCUUGGUGGGUUAAUGAAUCUCCUCUCGCUCUGUUUGAAG
rnacentral:lncRNA from 1 species